GACGAACCGAGCGAACGUUGUUCGGAAUCACUGGGCUUAAAGCGCACGUAGGCGGCUUGACAAGUCGGAUGUGAAAUCCCUCGGCUACAACCCGAAGGAAGUGCAUCCGAAACUGACGAGCUUGAGUACUUAAGAGGAUCGCGGGAAUUCCGGUGUAGAGGUGAAAUGCGCAGAUAUCAGGAGGAACACCGGUGGCGAAGGCGGGUCUCUGGGCCGUAACUGACGCUGAGGAGCGAAAGCAUGGGGAGCGAACAGG
rnacentral:rRNA from 1 species